rnacentral:rRNA from 1 species
UACGUAGGUGGCAAGCGUUGUCCGGAUUUACUGGGCGUAAAGAGCGCGCAGGCGGUCGUUCAAGUCGCGUGUGAAAGCCCCCGGCUCAACUGGGGAGGGUCACGCGAUACUGAUCGACUCGAAGGCAGGAGAGGGUAGUGGAAUUCCCGGUGUAGCGGUGAAAUGCGUAGAGAUCGGGAGGAACACCCGUGGCGAAGGCGGCCAUCUGGACCAGCACUGACGCUGAGGCACGAAAGCGUGGGGAGCAAACAGG